rnacentral:rRNA from 2 species
GGAAGGAUCAUUAACCAGUCCGGAUAACGGAAAAAGGCACGCGGGGGGAGAUCCGUCGCCAGCGGCUGCGACUCCCGCUGUCCUGUCCCGCCCACCCUCUCCGUGUACCUCUCCAUGUUGCUUUCCUGGGACGGUUGGCCCAGCCUGCCCGGUGGUGGGCUCCUCGUUUCCCCGUCUGUUGGGGCGCUGAGGUGCCCGCGGCCGAGUUUCCCGGGGAAGGUACCCUUCAUAAAUCCCCUGCAGCAACCUGUCUGACACAGGCCCAUGGCCAUUGCUACAUAAUUACAUAAAACUUUCAACAACGGAUCUCUUGGUUCUCGCAUCGAUGAAGAACGCAGCGAAAUGCGAUAAGUAAUGUGAAUUGCAGAAUUCCGUGAAUCAUCGAAUCUUUGAACGCACAUUGCGCCCUCUGGCAUUCCUCAGGGCAUGCCUGUUCGAGCGUCACAGAAAGCCCCCCCUCACACACAAGCUGUGGUGAUGUCGUUGGUGAGCCUCAACCGGCUCCACCACGUCCAAAUCCAUGGGCGGACAACUGAUCUCAGCAGCUGACUUAGUAAGAUAGAGUUCAUCUGCAGUACUUGCUGUCAGAAGGAACAUCAGUCAGGAGCUAGGUUACGUCCCGUCCCCGCCUCAUUGGAACCCCCCCAUGAAAUUAUCUUUGGGUUGACCUCGGAUCAGGUAGGGAUACCCGCUGAACUUAAGCAUAUCAAUAAGCGGAGG